UAUCCAGACUCCUACGGGAGGCAGCAGUGAGGAAUAUUGGUCAAUGGGCGGAAGCCUGAACCAACCAAGUCGCGUGAGGGAAGAAGGCCCUGCGGGUCGCAGACCUCUUUGGACGGGGAGCAAGGCCGCCGACGCGUCGGCGGAAGGAGAGUACCCGUAGAAUAAGCAUCGGCUAACUCCGUGCCAGCAGCCGCGGUAAUACGUAGGUGGCAAGCGUUGUCCGGAUUUACUGGGUGUAAAGGGCGUGUAGCCGGGCUGACAAGUCAGAUGUGAAAUUCCGGGGCUCAACCCCGGACCUGCAUUUGAAACUGUUGGUCUUGAGUAUCGGAGAGGCAGGCGGAAUUCCUAGUGUAGCGGUGAAAUGCGUAGAUAUUAGGAGGAACACCAGUGGCGAAGGCGGCCUGCUGGACGACAACUGACGGUGAGGCGCGAAAGCGUGGGGAGCAAACAGGAUUAGAUACCCCUGUAU
rnacentral:rRNA from 1 species